UACGCUCCCGGGCCUUGUACACACCGCCCGUCAAGCCAUGGAAGCUGGGGGUGCCUGAAGUCGGUGACCGUAAGGAGCUGCCUAGGGUAAAACUGGUAACUAGGGCU
rnacentral:rRNA from 1 species